rnacentral:piRNA from 1 species
UUAUGUAGGGAUGAAUGUCGA